rnacentral:rRNA from 1 species
CUUGGUCAUUUAGAGGAAGUAAAAGUCGUAACAAGGUUUCCGUAGGUGAACCUGCGGAAGGAUCAUUAGUGAACGCCCUCACGGGCUUAUAACUAUUCCAAACCUCUGUGAACCGUGCCCUUUGGGGCUAUUUUACAAACAUGGUGUAAUGAACGUCAUAUAUCAUAACAAAACAAAACUUUCAACAACGGAUCUCUUGGCUCUCGCAUCGAUGAAGAACGCAGCGAAAUGCGAUAAGUAAUGUGAAUUGCAGAAUUCAGUGAAUCAUCGAAUCUUUGAACGCACCUUGCACCCUUUGGCAUUCCGAAGGGUAUGCUCGUUUGAGUGUCAUUGUACUCUCACACUUCCAAUCUUUGGAUUGGGAGCGGUGGACUUGGGUGGUUGCGGCUUUACUGUGGCUCACCUCAAAUGAAGUAGUGCAACUCUUGGUUGGACAUAGUACGGCGUGAUAAGUGUCUUCGCCGGCACCUCGUAACAGAGGGUGGUCGAUCGAGAGCUCUGUGCUUCAAACCGUCUUCGGACAAUGACUGACAACUUGACCUCAAAUCGAGUAGGACUACCCGCUGAACUUAAGCAUAUCAAUAAGCGGAGGA